rnacentral:rRNA from 1 species
UACGUAGGGAGCAAGCGUUGUCCGGAUUUAUUGGGCGUAAAGAGCUCGUAGGCGGUUAAGUAAGUCAGGUGUGAAACCUCCAGCUCAACCUGGAGACGCCACUUGAUACUGCUUUGACUUGAGUUCGGUAGGGGUAAGCGGAAUUCCUGGUGUAGCGGUGAAAUGCGUAGAUAUCUGGAGGAAUACCGGUGGCGAAGGCGGCAUCCUGGACCGGCAUUGACGCUGAGGAGCGAAAGCUAGGGGAGCAAACGGGG